rnacentral:rRNA from 1 species
UACGUAGGGGGCAAGCGUUGUCCGGAUUUAUUGGGCGUAAAGAGCGUGUAGGCGGUUAUACAGGUCCGCUGUGAAAACUGGAGGCUUAACCUCGAGCUGUCGGCGGAAACCAUCUGGCUAGAGUCCGGAAGAGGAGAAUGGAAUUCCCGGUGUAGGCGGUGAAAUGCGCAGAUAUCGGGAAGAACACCCGUGGCGAAGGCGGUUCUCUGGGACGGUACUGACGCUGAGACGCGAAAGCGUGGGGAGCGAACAGG